AGCCCAGCGGACUAACUAGGGUCCGGCCUCAGAAAGGGUCUCGGGGAGCCCAGAGGAUAUGUGGUGCCUGUCAUAAGGUCCAGCGAGCUGCCUUCCACGAGACCAGCAGAAGAGUGGGCAAACGUGAAGUCCAGUCCUGCUGCCCAGGCUGCCAUUGACCUCACGGCGGGGGCUGCAGGGUAGUUAGAAACCACGCAAGAGAUCGCGGAGCCAAGGAGGCCGAAUAGGAACAGCUCCGGUCUACAGCUCCCAGUGUGAGCGACGCAGAAGACGGGUGAUUUCUGCAUUUCCAUCUGAGGUACCGGGUUCAUCUCACUAGGGAGUGCCAGACAGUGGGCGCAGGUCACUGGGUGCAGCGCACCAGGCGCGAGCCGAAGCAGGGCGAGGCAUUGGCUCACUGGGGAAGCGCAAGGGGUCAGGGAGUUCCCUUUCCUAGUCAAAGAAAGGGGUGACACACGGCACCUGGAAAAUUGGGUCACUCCCACCCCAAUACUGCGCUUUUCCGACGGGCUUAAAAAACGGCGCACCAGGAGAUUAUAUCCUGCACAUGGCUUGGAGGGUCCUACGCCCACAGAGUCUCGCUGAUUGCUAGCACAGCAGUCUGAGAUCAAAUUGCAAGGCGGCAGCGAGGCUGGGGGAGGGGCGCCCGCCAUUGCCCAGGCUUGCUUAGGUAAACAAAGCAGCCGGGAAGCUCCAACUGGGUGGAGCCCACCACAGCUCAAGGAGGCCCGCCUGCCUCUGUAGGCUCCACCUCUGGGGGCAGGGCACAGACAAACAAAAAGACAGCAGUAACCUCUGCAGACUUAAAUGUCCCUGUCUGACAGCUUUGAAGAGAGCAGUGGUUCUCCCAGCAUGCAGCUGGAGAUCUGAGAACGGGCAGACUGCCUCCUCAAGUGGGUCCCUGACCCCUGACCCCUGAGCAGCCUAACUGGGAGGCACCCCCCAGUAGGGGCAGACUGACACCUCACACGGCCGGGUACUCCUCUGAGACAAAACUUCCAGAGGAACUAUCAGACAGCAGUAUUCGCGGUUCACGAAAAACCACUGUUCGGCAGACACCGCUGCUGAUACCCAGGGUCUGGAGUGGACCUCUAGCAAACUCCAACAGACCUGCAGCUGAGGGUCCUGUCUGUUACAAGGAAAACUAACAAACAGAAAGGACAUCCACACCAAAAACCCAUCUGUACAUCACCAUCAUCAAAGACCAAAAGUAGAUAAAACCACAAAGAUGGGGAAAAAACAUAGCAGAAAAACUGGAAACUCUAAAAAGCAGAGCGCCUCUCCUCCUCCAAAGGAUCGCAGUUCCUCACCAGCAAUAGAACAAAGCUGGAUGGAGAAUGACUUUGACGAAUUGAGAGAAGAAGUCUUCAGAUGAUCAAACUACGAGCUACAGGAGGAAAUUCAAACCAAAGGCAAAGAAGUUAAAAACUUUGAAAAAAAUUUAGACGAAACGUAUAACUAGAAUAACCAAUACAGAGAAGUGCCUAAAGAAGCUGAUGGAGCUGAAAGCCAAGGCUCAAGAACUGCGUGAAGAAUGCAGAAGCCUCAGGAGCCGAUGCGAUCAACUGGAAGAAAGGGUAUCAGCGAUGGAAGAUGAAAUGAAUGAAAUGAAGCGAGAAGGGAAGUUUAGAGAAAAAAGAAUAAAAAGAAACGAAUAAAGCCUCCAAGAAAUAUGGGACUAUGUGAAAAGACCAAAUCUACGUCUGAUUGGUGUACCUGAAAGUGACGGGCAGAAUGGAACCAAGUUGGAAAACACUCUGCAGGAUAUUAUCCAGGAGAACUUCCCCAAUCUAGCAAGGCAGGCCAACAUUCAGAUUCAGGAAAUACAGAGAACGCCACAAAGACACUCCUCGAGAAGAGCAACUCCAAGACACAUAAUUGUCAGAUUCACCAAAGUUGAAAUGAAGGAAAAAAUGUUAAGGGCAGCCAGAGAGAAAGGUCGGGUUACCCACAAAUGGAAGCCCAUCAGACUAACGGCGGAUCUCUCGGCAGAAACUCUACAAGCCAGAACAGAGUGGGAGCCGAUAUUCAACAUUCUUAAAGAAAAGAAUUUUCAACCCAGAAUUUCAUAUCCAGCCAAACUAAGCUUCAUAAGUGAAGGAGAAAUAAAAUCCUUUACAGACAAGCAAAUGCUGAGAGAUUUUGUCACCACCAGGCCUGCCCUACAAGAGCUCCUGAAGGAAGCACUAAGCAUGGAAAGGAACAACCGGUACCAGCCGCUGCAAAAUCAUGCCAAAAUGUAAAGACCAUCGAGACUAGGAAGAAACUGCAUCAACUAACGAGCAAAAUAACCAGCUAACAUCAUAAUGACAGGUUCAAAUUCACACAUAACAAUAUUAACUUUAAAUGUAAAUGGACUAAAUGCUCCAAUUAAUGACACAGACUGGCAAAUUGGAUAAAGAGUCAAGACCCAUCAGUGUGUUGUAUUCAGGAAACCCAUCUCACAUGCAGAGACACAUAUAGGCUCAAAAUAAAAGGAUGGAGGAAGAUCUACCAAGCACAUGGAAAACAAAACAAGGCAGGGGUUGCAAUCCUAGUCUCUGAUACAACAGACUUCAAACCAACAAAGAUCAAAAGAGACAAAGAAGGCCAUUACAUAAUGGUAAAGGGAUCAAUUCAACAAGAAGAGCUAACUAUCCUAAAUAUAUAUGAACCCAAUACAGGUGCAUCCAGAUUCAUAAAGCAAGUCCUGAGUGACCUACAAAGAGACUUAGACUCCCACACAUUAAUAAUGGGAGACUUUAACACCCCACUGUCAACAUUAGACAGAUCAGUGAGACAGAAAGUCAACAAGGAUACCCAGGAAUUGAACUCAGCUCUGCACCAAGCAGACCUAAUAGACAUCUACAGAACUCUCCACCCCAAAUCAACAGAAUAUACAUUUUUUUCAGCACCACACCACACCUAUUCCAAAAUUGACCACAUAGUUGGAAGUAAAGCUCUCCUCAGCAAAUGUAAAAGAACAGAAAUUAUAACAAACUAUCUCUCAGACCACAGAGCAAUCAAACUAGAACUCAGGAUUAAGAAACUCACUCAAAACCGCUCAACUACAUGGAAACUGAACAACCUGCUCCUGAAUGACUACUGGGUACAUAACGAAAUGAAGGCAGAAAUAAAGAUGUUCUUUGAAACCAACGAGAACAAAGACACAACAUACCAGAAUCUCUGGGACACAUUCAAAGCAGUGUGUAGACGGAAAUUUAUAGCACUAAAUGCCCACAAGAGAAAGCAGGAAAGAUCCAAAAUUGACACCCUAACAUCACAAUUAAAAGAACUAGAAAAGCAAGAGCACACAUUCAAAAGCUAGCAGAAGGCAAGAAAUAACUAAAA
rnacentral:lncRNA from 1 species